GGAGGGGUGGCCGAGUGGUUGAAGGCACCGUCUUGAACCGGCAGGCGGGCGACCGUCUCGUGGGUUCGAAUCCCACCCCCUCCGCCA
rnacentral:tRNA from 1 species